GAUGAAGAACGCAGCGAAAUGCGAUAAGUAGUGUGAAUUGCAGAAUUCAGUGAAUCAUCGAAUCUUUGAACGCUCAUUGCGCCCUUUGGUAUUCCAAAGGGCAUGCCUGUUCGAGCGUCAUUUGUACCCUCAAGCUUUGCUUGGUGUUGGGCGUCUUGUCUCUAGCUUUGCUGGAGACUCGCCUUAAAGUAAUUGGCAGCCGGCCUACUGGUUUCGGAGCGCAGCACAAGUCACACUCUCUAUCAGCAAAGGUCUAGCAUCCAUUAAGCCUUUUUUUCAACUUUUGACCUCGGAUCAGGUAGGGAUACCCGCUGAACUUAAGCAUAUCAAUAAGCGGAGGA
rnacentral:misc_RNA from 1 species